GGAGACACAAGGAUUCUUUGAAUUCUCUGAAGAUGCCCAGUGGCUGACAUGCCCAAGACUAGCGGGAAAUCUUGUAUUUGCAAUGUUAUAAAACAAAUUGAACCGAUGUAGAACUGAUUGAGACAUGCUACAUUCCGUUUUAACGUGCUGUAUUAUGGUGCAGACACUAUUUCUGAUGACAGAACCACUUUAAAUGAGCUCACAGAACAGAGAAC